UGGGGAAUAUUGCACAAUGGGCGCAAGCCUGAUGCAGCCAUGCCGCGUGUAUGAAGAAGGCCUUCGGGUUGUAAAGUACUUUCAGUCGGGAGGAAGGUGGUAAGGUUAAUAACCUUAUCAAUUGACGUUACCGACAGAAGAAGCACCGGCUAACUCCGUGCCAGCAGCCGCGGUAAUACGGAGGGUGCAAGCGUUAAUCGGAAUUACUGGGCGUAAAGCGCACGCAGGCGGUUGAUUGAGUCAGAUGUGAAAUCCCCGGGCUUAACCCGGGAAUUGCAUCUGAUACUGGUCAGCUGGAGUCUUGUAGAGGGGGGUAGAAUUCCAUGUGUAGCGGUGAAAUGCGUAGAGAUGUGGAGGAAUACCGGUGGCGAAGGCGGCCCCCUGGACAAAGACUGACGCUCAGGUGCGAAAGCGUGGGGAGCAAACAGG
rnacentral:rRNA from 1 species